ACCGUUGAAAUCCAAUAAACCUGAUAGGUGAUUGGUGACUCAAUAAUGGUGUUACUGGGAUACCUGUGACAUUCAAUCGACUGGGGCACCGUAGGGACUCCAGCCUUUCAGUGUUCCUUAAUAGGCGGGGAUUCCAUAAUGGCAGCGUUGGCACCAACUAAAACCUCUCGGCAACCAUGUUCUAAUUCUCGAUGACGAGUCGGAAUUCAAACCACAAUGAAAACUCAUCCCUACAUACG
rnacentral:lncRNA from 1 species